AGGGUUUGAUCCUGGCUCAGAGUGAACGCUGGCGGCGUGGAUUAGGCAUGCAAGUCGAGCGAUUCUAAGAAACGAACUAUUUGAAAUGCUGGAAGUUCCGAGUAAUCGGAAUGGAAAGUAUGGAGAGUAGCUAGUUCCUUAGAAUAGCGGCAAACGGGUGAGGAACACGUGGAUAAUCUACCCUUAGAUGAGGGAUAGCUCCGAGAAAUCGGAGGUAAUACCUCGUACAUUCCGGCUGCAAAGCCGGAAGAAAGAUGGCUGAGUCCCGAUUUAUCGGGAAUGCUGUUGUCUGAGGAGGAGUCUGCGUCCUAUCAGCUGGUUGGUGGGGUAAAGGCUUACCAAGGCGAUGACGGGUAACUGGCAUUAGUGUGUGGUCAGUCACACCGGGACUGAGACACUGCCCGGACUUCUACGGAAGGCUGCAGUCGAGAAUCUUUCCCAAUGCCCGAAAGGGUGAGGAUGCGACGCCGCGUAGGGGAUGAAGGUCUUCGGAUUGUAAACCCUUUUUGUAGGAGAGGAAAUCCCGGUACAGAAUACGUACCGGAGUUGACAUUAUUCUACGAAUAAGCCACGGCUAACUCCGUGCCAGCAGCCGCGGUAAUACGGAGGUGGCGAGCGUUACUCGGUAUUAUUGGGUGUAAAGGGUCCGCAGGCGGCUGAGUAAGUAAGGGGUGAAAUCUCCCGGCUUAACCGGGAAAAUGCCUCUUAUACUGCUUAGCUAGAGGGCAAGAGAGGAAAGUGGAACUGCUAGUGUAAGGGUGAAAUCUGUGGAUAUUAGCAGGAAUGCCAGUGACGAAGGUGGCUUUCUGGCUUGCACCUGACGCUCAGGGACGAAAGCUAGGGGAGCAAACAGGAUUAGAUACCCUGGUAGUCCUAGCUGUAAACGAUGGGCACUAGGUGUUUUGACUUUAUGUUGGAGCGCCGAAGCUAACGCGUUAAGUGCCCCACCUGGGGACUACGGCCGCAAGGCUAAAACUCAAAGGAAUUGACGGGGGCCCGCACAAGCGGUGGAACACGUGGUUUAAUUCGAUGCUACGCGAGGAACCUUACCAGGGCUUGACAUGAUAGGAGUACUCUGACGGAAACGUCAGGAGACCGUAUCCAAUCGGAGCCUAACACAGGUGCUGCAUGGUUGUCGUCAGCUCGUGCCGUGAGGUGUCGCCUUAAGUGGUUUAACGAGCGCAACCCUCGCUUCUUGUUGCCACUCUCGAUUUUAUCGAGAAGCACUCUAGAGGGACUGCCCACGUUAAGUGGGAGGAAGGUGGGGAUGACGUCAAAUCAGCAUGGCCCUUAUGUCCUGGGCUACACACGUGUUACAAUGGCGUGUACAAUGGGAAGCAAGACCGCAAGGUGGAGCAAAUCCAUAAAAGCACGUCUCAGUUCGGAUUGAGGGCUGCAAUUCGCCCUCAUGAAGCUGGAAUCGCUAGUAAUGGCGUAUCAGCUACGACGCCGUGAAUACGUUCCCGGGCCUUGUACACACCGCC
rnacentral:rRNA from 1 species